rnacentral:rRNA from 1 species
UACGAAGGGGGCUAGCGUUGUUCGGAAUCACUGGGCGUAAAGCGCACGCAGGCGGAUUGAUAAGUCAGGGGUGAAAUCCCGGAGCUCAACUUCGGAAUUGCCUUUGAUACUGUCUAUCGUCGAGUUCGGGAGAGGUUGGCGGAAUUCCUAGUGUAGAGGUGAAAUUCGUAGAUAUUAGGAAGAACACCAGUGGCGAAGGCGGCCAACUGGCCCGAUACUGACGCUCAUGUGCGAAAGCGUGGGGAGCAAACAGG